rnacentral:rRNA from 1 species
UACGUAGGGUGCAAGCGUUGUCCGGAAUUAUUGGGCGUAAAGAGCUCGUAGGCGGUUUGUCGCGUCUGCUGUGAAAACGCGAGGCUCAACCUCGCGCCUGCAGUGGGUACGGGCAGGCUAGAGUGCGGUAGGGGAGAUUGGAAUUCCUGGUGUAGCGGUGGAAUGCGCAGAUAUCAGGAGGAACACCGAUGGCGAAGGCAGAUCUCUGGGCCGUAACUGACGCUGAGGAGCGAAAGCGUGGGGAGCGAACAGG